UACGAAGGGGGCUAGCGUUGUUCGGAUUUACUGGGCGUAAAGCGCGUGUAGGCGGCUAAGUAAGUCGGGCGUGAAAUCCCACGGCUCAACCGUGGAAGUGCACUCGAAACUGCAUAGCUAGAGUCCUGGAGAGGAAGGUGGAAUGCUUGGUGUAGAGGUGAAAUUCGUAGAUAUCAAGCGGAACACCGGUGGCGAAGGCGGCCUUCUGGACAGUGACUGACGCUGAGACGCGAAAGCGUGGGGAGCAAACAGG
rnacentral:rRNA from 1 species